AUCCUUUUGUAGGUCAUACGCAUGGUGAUCGGGUGUUCCUGCGCAUGCAUGAGAUGUGCCUCCCACAAAUCUUGUUACGAUGUCGGCACAUUACCCACCUGACA